rnacentral:rRNA from 1 species
UACGAAGGGGGCUAGCGUUGCUCGGAAUCACUGGGCGUAAAGGGCGCGUAGGCGGCGUUUUUAAGUCGGGGGUGAAAGCCUGUGGCUCAACCACAGAAUGGCCUUCGAUACUGGUACGCUUGAGUAUGGUAGAGGUUGGUGGAACUGCGAGUGUAGAGGUGAAAUUCGUAGAUAUUCGCAAGAACACCGGUGGCGAAGGCGGCCAACUGGACCAUUACUGACGCUGAGGCGCGAAAGCGUGGGGAGCAAACAGG